AAGUCGUAACAAGGUUUCCGUAGGUGAACCUGCGGAAGGAUCAUUAACACGUAUCCAACGUUAAACAACCCUGUGAACCUUGAACGUGCUCCUGCAGCCCCAUGAAAUCAGCAAUCCCUGGUAAAUCAUUGUUGACCAGCUUUUGAGUCAGGGGUUCAGUUUUUUACGGCGUCCGUAUUAUCGGCUGCCCAGUCGGAAACUGUGGGGUGAUAAAGGGGCGUGAGCCCUGGGACCCGGUUGCCGGCCGUGUGGGCCUCUAGCAAUCGUUUACUGCGCCAUCCUUACACAAUCAAUGACACUUUCAGACACUGAUCGCUUGGGGAUGCCAGGUCGCUUACACCGCGCUCGGUACUGAACAGCCGUUUCGGCAGAGGUAACUGUUAACAAUGGAUAUCUUGGUUCUC
rnacentral:misc_RNA from 1 species